UGACACUAUGUCAACAUAGGUCAGCUGAUAGCCAUUGUGUGUAGGUAAUCAGUAGUCACCCUGGCGCCUCAACAAAAUAUCAUAGAAUACUCUGUAGCCAAAGUAUUGCCAAAAAGUAAAAAAUGUAUAUUCUAGUCAUGAAAAUGUAAAUACAAGUUGGUGUAAUAAAUGUAUGUUUAAUUCAAAGGAUUGUUUUUGUAUAAGUUGUAUAUGAAUUACAGAGGAUGGAACCUCUACACAAAUGAGUAUAAUACACAGAAAGUCUUUAGUUAGUAUUUGGUAUUUGUGAAUUAUAAUUCACAACAGAAAAAGGAGACAACUCUUGAUUAAGUUUUAGUAUGUUUAGAAAAUACGUCGACAACUCUGGAUCGUUGUUUUUCAUCUCAUUGUUAUUCGUUCAGUAUUGAAAUAGGGUCUUCAUAUAUGAGUAUUGCAAUUAAUAGAGAUUAUAAAAAUUUCAUAUUUUCAAUAAUCUGGUUUAAUUCAAUCAAAUAUUUGUGUGGGUGUGUGGGUGUUGCAGCCUGUAGCUCAUUGCCAUAUUCGGCAUGGCCAUAGAGGGCGCUCGCAGCUUGAAUCAGAAUUUUGGAAUUUCCCGUAUCAGCUUGAAUUAGAAUUUUAGAAUUCCCGAAUCGGGCACUUGUUAAUUUGCUGUCGACUAGAAAGCAGGUGUUACACAAAUUAGUUAAACUUUUAAAACCCGCCCGCCCCUCCCUAUGAGAAUAGUUGCUGCUGUUUUUGUUUUAUAUUUUCAGGCAUCUGUUUGCUGUAUUUGAUUGGCAUAUUAUGGUUACCAGUAUCCAAGCAGGACCUUCAUAGUAUUAGACCAAUACAGGAUAAUUUCGAAUAAACUUGCGUUUCUAUGAAUUGGACAUUUCCGUUAUUAAGCACUUUAUUAACAUAUUAUGGACUAUUGUGAUUUGAGCAUCCAGCAUUAAUUUUAGUUUUUAUUAAUUAACAAUUAUAUUAAUUGGAACGAAAACAAGACAUUUUUAAAAAAUCAAUUAUCUUCUUUUAUCCUAAGGCGCAGAGUCAAUUUUGAAUGGGGGGAGGUCCAGGGAGACUGGUAGUGAUUGGGGGAUUAUUUCACUCGGCCCUUGCUCUGGGCCUGACAAGUUAUAAAAUUUGCAGGUUUGGAAAAUGUGGUUAGUGGUAACGGUGUGGUCUACAGAUGGGUGACUCUGGGACCUCCUCCACCUCAUCUCAUAGAGGGGAGGCCUACACCUGCCAACAGGUGGGGCGCUAACUGGAGC
rnacentral:lncRNA from 1 species